rnacentral:lncRNA from 12 species
GUUUUUUUACUGCUAUGGUUUUCAUAAGGGAUUUGGCUUAAAGUUUUGAAAAGAAUCCAGGUACUAGGAUAACUUUGCUGUAUUAACAGUAUUUGUGUAUAGAACAAUUUGAGUCAGCAUGUGAGCAACUGCCCUUUUGUUCACAUACCUGUAUUUAGGGAAAAUUAUAGCCAGUUUUGCAAAUAUAAAAUUCUGACACAAAUAUUGCAGGAAGCAAUAUCAAAAAAGACCAAUGUGAGUGGAGUGUAAAAAUUUCAUCUUUAUUUAUUAUUCAUUGAAAUUCCCAAUCAUGUUGUAGGCACAGGGAGAUCCAGGCUUUAGGGACACUCUCUGGAAGAAUCCGUUUACAUAAUUUUUUACAACUUUAUCAUUAAGUUCUGAAGUGCUUGACAGAAGUCUGGAAUAGCUUUUGGAGCUAUUUGCAGGGAAUGCAGAUAUCCUGUUUUUUUUUUUUUUUUUAAAGAUUUAUUUAUUUAUUCAUGAUAGACAGAGAGAGAGAGAGAGAGAGAGGCAGAGACACAGGCAGAGGGAGAAGCAGGCUCCAUGCCGGGAGCCUGAUGUGGGACUUGAUUCCAGGACUCCAGGACUGCGCCCUGGAUCAAAGGCAGGCGCCAAACCGCUGAGCCACCCAGGGAUCCCCAGAUAUCCUUGUUGAAGAUACUGAACACUUGGACACUGUUUGAGAUUGACGUUUUUCAGUGUUACUGCACACUCACGUAAGCCAGAAUUAUCUGCAGCCUCCUGGUUGAGUUUAUUUUACAGGAGCAAGGAAACUCGGGGACCUCUGAGGUCCUACAAUCCAAAUGGCCUCCUUCGAGCUGCAAAUCUCUGUUCUGGUCAAUUCACAUUUCUGGCAAAGAGAGGCACAGCCUUGGGAUUUGUCUUGACUGAGGCAACUUGUAUGUGCAGUGGAAGGACACUAAGCUGGGUUACAGAGAUCAGAAGAAUGGACCCGUGUCAAGUGCUUUGUCCUCUGACUAAUGAUGAUGGGCUUGAGUCUCCUAGAACUUUCCCCAGCAAAAUGUAUGUAUUAGAUGGUUAAAGAGCAUUACGAGAUAGAUUAAAAAGUCCAUAUUUUUACUGUCUGAAAAGACAUUUCUCACCUCUACAAGA